rnacentral:rRNA from 1 species
CAGCCGCCGCGGUAAAACGGAGGGUGCAAGCGUUAAUCGGAAUUACUGGGCGUAAAGCGCACGCAGGCGGUCUGACAAGUCAGAUGUGAAAUCCCCGGGCUUAACCUGGGAACUGCAUUUGAAACUGUCAGGCUGGAGUCUUGUAGAGGGGGGUGGAAUUCCAGGUGUAGCGGUGAAAUGCGUAGAGAUCUGGAGGAAAACCGGUGGCGAAGGCGGCCCCCUGGACAAAGACUGACGCUCAGGUGCGAAAGCGUGGGGAGCAAACAGGAUUAGAUACCCGGGUAGUCCCUGUCUCUUAUAU